GUUCACAUUCACCCGAGGUUUUAUCGCUCGUAAUACAUCAAAGGCAAAAGAGGAUCCGGAAUUUGAACACAAAAAGGGCAUGGCGGCGCAUAUCAGAAACCCCAAAUAAUUCUCUUCGAAUACCAGUGAGUAGGCUUCUCAUCUUGGUCCUAUUUUAAAACCCUAAUCGAAGCCUAUUCUCAAUUCUCUUAAAUAGUCUGCUGGAUUUUUAAAAUCUUGCUUUCUAUAUUAUACAAUUUUAAUCUUAUUGUCUAGAAUUUUAAAGACUACACCUCAUAAUCAUUAGCACGAGUGCAUGGCCAUGAGGAAACAAGUGCGGCUUUCAGAUACUGUGCCAAUUGAUUGCCCAGAUUUAUUUCUGCUGGCGGUCUAAAUUAGUGGCGUGAAUAUGAUGUUUUGAUUGCCUUACUCAUCUGAGUGCAUGUAUGUGCGUAGUAUAUUUAUUUUGAAAUAUGAUUUUCUGCAGUGGUGUACCAUUUUGUAUAUUUUUAGGUAAGAAGGUUGUAAGUACUUUAUCUUGGAAAUUAGAAGAAAAGAAUAGAAUUGUGGUGUCAAUUUAUUUCAAUUAAACUUCUAGGAAGAUAUUUCAACGGGACCAAGUGGAUAGAGAGAGGAAGAUGAUGAAUUAUAACAGGCUUUGUGAGCGUGGUCGCGUUGAUGAAGCCUUCAUUGGAAAGGACAGAGGGUGUGAAGCCAGAUAUAUUAGUGUUUAAUAUCUUGAAUUUGGUGCUCAGGAAACAAAGGAGAGUUGAAGAGGGGAUUAAGCUUUUCGAUAGAAUGAUGCUUAAAGGGUGUGAUCCAAAUUCUGGGACUUAUCAAGAGGUUUUGUAUUGUUUGCUUGAUGCGAAGAGGUUUGUUGAAGCGAAGGAUUUUAUGAAGAAGAUGACUGACAAAGGGGUGAUACCAAGCUUUGAGUCUUAAAAGUUUGCUGAUACAUGGUUUUUGUAUCGAGAAUCUUGUGGAAGAUUUAGAUUGGGCAUCCAGGAAAAUGGUAAGGCAUGGAUUUGUGCCAAAAAAGCGAAUAUGGGAGUGAGUUCUUCAUUAUGUGUUCUUGAAUGGUCAUAUUGCUAAUUCUGAUCAUAUUUCGUACAAAGAAAUUAUCAAGAACACAUCUUAUGCGAACCUAAAGGUCAUCACAAUGUUUAACUAUUGCUAUGCUAUGUGUCCUACCAAGGUAGCUGACAGAUCUGUCUGCAGCCUCUGGAGAAGCAGUGAAAGCUGCUACAACCUUUGUUGAAGACUUCCAUUUCUCUGGUUACAUUAUUGAAACAACUGAGGGGAUAUGCGCACGUUCAAUAGUGAGGGUGAAUACAGUUUUACUGUUCAAAUGAUCUGAGAUCUCAAUCCAACUUUUGACAAGCACUGGUUCAAACUUGUACUUGCUCACCUUCCUGCAGAAUAAGGAUAUAGAUUACUCCGCAAGUUCAGGAACGAAAGGAACAGAUGAAGGUGGUGAAUUUUCAGUUUUUUGAGAAGAUGUUAGGAUGUUUCCAGGAUUGCCGUGCACACCUUGGAUCUGCUGGAGAGUUGAGCAACGUAGCUGAAACCUGAUAUGCAAGAGGAUUGUUCCUACACGAGAUUCAAUUAAUCAGAGAAUUGGAUUGUUCAAGUUCUUAGCAAACCAAGUUACCAUUGCUUGCUUUUUUCUUGUGAUCCAACGAGGUACAAGAGGUGCUCGAAAUUCCUAGUGGGGAGAGGUCUUUUGAUGAUCCUGUUGCUUAAGAAAACAUCUGGGGAAAUUAUACUCUGCAAAUCUAGUCUGCUUCUAUAGAGUGGGAAAUAUACGUUUUACUGGCAGAAUGUUGUUUCCUUAUCUUGAUGAAACUUGAAAGUGCAAAUAUAUCUGGAAAAUUAUUAGAGACAUGAAAGACUAUAAUGAUGGCCAAUGCAUUAUACUGCCAAUCAUCCUCGUAGUGUGCGUGUAUAUAUAUUUGGUGACUCGGGUAUUCUAGCUUCGCCCACCCAAUUAAUUCCGAGGACUGGCAGCGAACAGGACCUCCGGAGGAGCUGCGAAGUGUAUCAUAAUUUUGCCUCCAUAGGACGUCCGUCUUUUAAUAUAAAUGCUGUUUUCCAGCUGUCACGGAGAUUCGAACCUCUGAUGUUUCGUAUAGAACCUUGCUUUACUAGUGUGCCUGCCCAUAGGGCACCCUCGUGGUAUAUUUUUCUUUUGUAAAAGCACCAUGGGCCGUCAAUUACUCUACUUUCUCUUGAACCUUGAAUAAAAGUCACUCUUGCCGUAAGCUUGA